GAUGAACGCUGGCGGCGUGCCUAACACAUGCAAGUCGAACGGAGGGCGGACGGGUGAGUAACACGUGGGUAACCUGCCUCAUAGAGGGGGAUAACAGAGAGAAAUCACUGCUAAUACCGCAUACUAUGAGAUGGACCCGCGACUGAUUAGCCGGUUGGUAAGGUAAGGGCUUACCAAAGCAACGAUCAGUAGCCGAUCUGAGAGGAUGAACGGCCACAUUGGGACUGAGACACGGCCCAAACUCCUACGGGAGGCAGCAGUGGGGGAUAUUGCACAAUGGGGGGAACCCUGAUGCAGCGACGCCGCGUGAGUGAAGAAGUAUUUCGGUAUGUAAAGCUCUAUCAGCAGGGAAGCAGUACCUGAAUAAGAAGCCCCGGCUAACUACGUGCCAGCAGCCGCGGUAAUUC
rnacentral:rRNA from 1 species